AGUGAACGCUGGCGGUAGGCCUAACACAUGCAAGUCGAACGGCAGCACAGUAAGAGCUUGCUCUUACGGGUGGCGAGUGGCGGACGGGUGAGGAAUACAUCGGAAUCUACUUUUUCGGGGGGGAUAACGUAGGGAAACUUACGCUAAUACCGCAUACGACCUACGGGUGAAAGCAGUGGAUCUUCGCACCUUGCGCGAUUGAAUGAGCCGAUGUCGGAUUAGCUAGUUGGCGGGGUAAAGGCCCACCAAGGCGACGAUCCGUAGCUGGUCUGAGAGAAUGAUCGGCGACACUGGAACUGAGACACGGUCCAGACGCCUACGGGAGGCAGCAGUGGGGAAUAUUGGACAAUGGGCGCAAGCCUGAUCCAGCCAUACCGCGUGGGUGAAGAAGGCCUUCGGGUUGUAAAGCCCUUUUGUUGGGAAAGAACAGCAGCAGGUUAAGACCCCGCUGUUCUGACGGUACCCAAAGAAUAAGCACCGGCUAACUUCGUG
rnacentral:rRNA from 1 species